UAUACAUAACAGUCGAGCGGACAGAUGGGAGCUUGCUCCCUGUAUGUCAGCGGCGGACGGGUGAGUAACACGUGGGUAACCUGCCUGUAAGACUGGGAUAACUCCGGGAAACCGGGGCUAAUACCGGAUGCUUGAUUGAACCGCAUGGUUCAAUUAUAAAAGGUGGCUUCUGCUUACCCUUUCCGAAGGGCCCCCGGGGCAUUUACUUGUUGGGGAAGGAACCGGUCCACCAGGGCACCAUGCCUAACCCAACUGGGAAGGUGGUCCGGCACCCUGGGACUGAAACCCCGGCCCAAAUCCUUCCGGAAGGAGCCAUAAGGAAUCCUCCGGCAUGGAACAAAGUCUGACCGAACCACCCCCCCUGGAUGAUGGAGGGUUUCCGAUCGUUAACUUC
rnacentral:rRNA from 2 species